CCCACCGAGCGUCCCCCGCGCGCCCCCGGACCCCCAGCCGGCUGACCCCCGGCCAGGCAGGCCCGCGGGGUAGGCAGGACCGGAGCCCGGAGGCCCUGGCCGGCCUCGGGGUUGAGGCUCAGCUCAGGAUAAGUGAUCUUUGGGGCCCGCAGAGGACGUCUCCCCAAGACCCAGUGCCAGCCGGCUUUUACUGAGGCUCUUCUUGAUACACAGGGACCUGUGUUGGGCCUUGGAGCUACAAAGCUAAAAGACACUUGAAAGGCUGAACAAGUGAUUACAAGGCAGUGUGGGUAAACUGUAUCUUUGGAAACACCCCCAAAGGCAUUUGGAUUCAAGUCUGGAGAAUAGGCAAAUUCAAUGGAAACUUGGGCAGUGACUAUCCCUGUGAGCUUCAGUUUUGUCAUCUGUGAAGUGGGAUAAUAACACCUAUCUUUGGAGGUUGUGAAAAUCAAGUGAAAUGAUUCAUACAAAGAGCUUGCUUCAUGACUGGUGCACACCAGGUGUUCAAAAAUGAAUGCCACUAUGUAUGAUGAUACGAACGUAUUAGUGACUCCAGUUGGCGGCAAGCCGGAGCUAACUAAUCUCAGAGGGAGGGGAGGGGAGAGGUGAGGAGUGGGUGGGAGCUGUCCAUGGUUCUGCGUCCAUUCAGCCAAGAAGCCAUUUGACUGAGGAAACAUCAGUGAUCACCUCUUUUGGGUCAGUACUCUUCUUGGCACCGAAUUCUUCAGGCAAAAGGAAAGCGCUUAUCUAGGUUCUCAGAGUCUCAUUCACAGAGAGGUGAGAGUGUUGGCGAGCAUAGGGCUGUCUCAUGUACGUGAAUCUCUGUGGGCACGUUGUUCUAACACUGUGAGUGUAAUCUGUGUGUGUGUGUGUGUGUGUGUGUGUUUGUAGUGAGAAACAGGGGAGGGAGGAUGGGAAGAGGCCUUGUGGGUGGCAGCUGAGAUGAAGGUGGGUUAUUGCUGUAAUGCAGCCCACCUGUGUAAACUAGCCAGCAUGGAGGUCCCAGCUCAGUCACGAGGAAAGGAUGGUCUCCCGGAAACCCCUGAAGAGACUGCAGGGCACACCAACUUCCACCCCAUCCCCAUCCCAGCCUACCAGAGGAGAGUAAAUCUGAGGACAGAGCUGAGCUGUUCCCCUGCUGGGCACUCCAAACUAAUUUUCUGGUACAUUAUACACUUGGCCUUUCGAACAAUCAAUGGCCUUAAAUGCUGUUUGGUUCCUACAGCCAAAUCCAAGAGAAAUAAGACAUAAUCCAUCUGGCGGAUAUGGCCAGGGCAGAGAGGGAGGGAGGGAAAGAGGAGUCUAGAG